GGCGAGCCGAACUCGCCGAGCCGGAGCCGGGCCCCGCGGCAUGGCCUCCUCCGACGCCUCGUCGCUCUUGGGCGCGGGCAGCCCCGACCCCGCACAGGGUCUCUCCUUGGUCUGGAGCUUCUUCUCUCUGUCUCCCCAGGGCUGGGACCACAGGGGUGUGUCACCAUAUCUGGCCCUCGACAUAGGUUCUGGAGCUCACUUCUGGUCCUCAGGCUUACUAGACAAGCACCCUGCCCACGGAGCCAUCACUGAGCCCGCAGCUUUCAGAUCGCCUUGAUCAGCUGCCUGCUGCUCUUCUCACGUACGGUUAAGGGAAGGAACUGUUGAAAACCCGGGUGCUAACGUACAUUUUAGACCUGGCCUUUGAGAACAAGACAAGCCAAGGUGAAUUGGAGCACUGUGGUAGAAUCAAGAAUUGCAGGCCACUGCAUUGGAAAGACUGUACCCCAAAGAGUUUCAAAGAUAACCACAGUGAUUCAUCAGUAGCUAUUUUGCACCUGCAGCAUCUAGCAAAAUCUGUGUACCAACAGCUUUUCUGGAGAGUGCUGGGGUUCCUGACUGAGAGCCAUGGCUGCCCUAGCAUGGGGCUUCCCAUUCUCCACCCCACAGUGAUCUCCAUGGAAUCUGCCCAAAGUCUCUGUGAACACAGUGUUGCUGAGUAUCAGACACAGAACUUGGCACACUUUAGGUCCUCCAUUGAUGUUUAUUGAGUGAAAAAUUGACUAAAACCUGAGAAGUCCCUCACAUUUCAGAUUUGAGAGCAGCUUUGAUGGUUUAAGUACACACCUUCAAGUUCCUAUCAUGUGACAACCACUCUUAGGCAUGCAGCAAUAGUCUUGAGUUUUAGUCUGAACCAAUUUAUGAUCCACCUGGAUAGAGAAGACGUAUGCAUCCUGAAAACAUUGCUACAUGGCCUAGUAAUGCUAGCCUUUCUUUCUGUUUCUUCUUUCCCCUUCACUCCCCCCUUUCUCUAUAACCUCUCAAAUUUGAUAUUGUCAGUAAUAUAAUAAUAAAUGGCCGUGACAACUCA